UUUUGAAGGAAAAGCCCCCGUGAACCUUUACUAUAGCUUGACACUGAACAUUGAAUUUUGAUGUGUAGGAUAGGUGGGAGCCUUUGAAGCAGUGACGCCAGUCAUUGUGGAGGCGACCUUGAAAUACCACCCUUUAACGUUUGAUGUUCUAACGAAGUGCCUGAAACGGGUACUCGGACAGUGUCUGGUGGGUAGUUUGACUGGGGCGGUCUCCUCCCAAAGCGUAACGGAGGAGCACGAAGGUUUGCUAAUGACGGUCGGACAUCGUCAGGUUAGUGCAAUGGUAUAAGCAAGCUUAACUGCGAGACAGACAAGUCGAGCAGGUGCGAAAGCAGGUCAUAGUGAUCCGGUGGUUCUGAAUGGAAGGGCCAUCGCUCAACGGAUAAAAGGUACUCCGGGGAUAACAGGCUGAUACCGCCCAAGAGUUCAUAUCGACGGCGGUGUUUGGCACCUCGAUGUCGGCUCAUCACAUCCUGGGGCUGAAGUAGGUCCCAAGGGUAUGGCUGUUCGCCAUUUAAAGUGGUACGCGAGCUGGGUUUAGAACGUCGUGAGACAGUUCGGU
rnacentral:rRNA from 1 species